UGCAGUCGAGCGGAUGAAGGGAGCUUGCUCCUGGAUUCAGCGGCGGACGGGUGAGUAAUGCCUAGGAAUCUGCCUGGUAGUGGGGGAUAACGUCCGGAAACGGGCGCUAAUACCGCAUACGUCCUGAGGGAGAAAGUGGGGGAUCUUCGGACCUCACGCUAUCAGAUGAGCCUAGGUCGGAUUAGCUAGUUGGUGGGGUAAAGGCCUACCAAGGCGACGAUCCGUAACUGGUCUGAGAGGAUGAUCAGUCACACUGGAACUGAGACACGGUCCAGACUCCUACGGGAGGCAGCAGUGGGGAAUAUUGGACAAUGGGCGAAAGCCUGAUCCAGCCAUGCCGCGUGUGUGAAGAAGGUCUUCGGAUUGUAAAGCACUUUAAGUUGGGAGGAAGGGCAGUAAGUUAAUACCUUGCUGUUUUGACGUUACCAACAGAAUAAGCACCGGCUAACUUCGUGCCAGCAGCCGCGGUAAUACGAAGGGUGCAAGCGUUAAUCGGAAUUACUGGGCGUAAAGCGCGCGUAGGUGGUUCAGCAAGUUGGAUGUGAAAUCCCCGGGCUCAACCUGGGAACUGCAUCCAAAACUACUGAGCUAGAGUACGGUAGAGGGUGGUGGAAUUUCCUGUGUAGCGGUGAAAUGCGUAGAUAUAGGAAGGAACACCAGUGGCGAAGGCGACCACCUGGACUGAUACUGACACUGAGGUGCGAAAGCGUGGGGAGCAAACAGGAUUAGAUACCCUGGUAGUCCACGCCGUAAACGAUGUCGACUAGCCGUUGGGAUCCUUGAGAUCUUAGUGGCGCAGCUAACGCGAUAAGUCGACCGCCUGGGGAGUACGGCCGCAAGGUUAAAACUCAAAUGAAUUGACGGGGGCCCGCACAAGCGGUGGA
rnacentral:rRNA from 1 species